ACCAUGGAUGAAGAAGAUCUGGUAGCUUUUAUAUUAAAUGGAUUAGAUGAAGAUUAUGAGCCUGCUAUCUCUGGUUUGGUGACAAGAGUAGAACCUGUUACCGUCGCAGAAUUGUAUUCUAUUUUGUUGAACUUUGAGA
rfam:Leersia perrieri chromosome 12, whole genome shotgun sequence.